GUAACGCACGUAAGCCGGCUGUCCUCUCAUAGUAGAAAAGUGGUGACGCGGAUAUUAUUUAGUGUUUGAUAGUUUUCUUUUGAUAUUUUCGUGAAAUUAUUCAGUCUUCAUUCGUUUUGUAAUGGAAGCUUCAGUAUCCCUGCCUCCUGGCACAGUUGUACAAUGUAAAAAUAAAAGGAAUAGGGGAAAGAGGAAGUCUCGCAAAAGACGCGGGCGAGAGACGCGAAAGCGCGGUCGGCGCGGCGGCGUGAAAUGUCGCGAAUGAAGGUUGAGGGUGCUACGGGAGGAAUUAUCAGCCCAAAAAGACGCAUCAGCACCCUCAUCGGCGCCGCGCCCCAAUGAUCCACCGAUUGUUGACUUGACUCAAUCGGAAGAGGAAAUCGACGAGUGUUGGCUAGAUCCUUCUUCCUUCGAAGUUCUUGAUACAGAUGCCUGUGUGAAAGUUCGUUUCUCCAAUGAGGUGCCUGUUGAAGUUUUGAAGGCUCAUUUGCACCAUUGUCACUCUGGUGAAGGGGGAGUUUCCCCCGUGGUGCAUUCAUGGUGCAUAGAGAAGUUUCUUCAAACGUGUCUGGACCCUCCGUACCCUGACUUUAAUUUUAUCUAAUAGCAAUAUUUUGCUUGUUUGGUGCAUAUAUGUAUUAAUGAUUUUAAGUGUAGAUUUCAUGUUAGUGUACAUAUAUAUAUAUUUACAUACAGUUAGUUGUGUGUUUGUGCGAUGUUAUAGAUUGGAUAAGUUGCUCUUUACUUAUUUUAUUCAUUUUAAGUUUGUUCGGUAUCUUCGUGGUUCCUUAUGGUAUUUCAUCCAUUUGAUCGUCUUUAUAUAAUAGUUUUCAUUUUCUUUUGAUUCAUAGUAAGUUUUUUAAUGUGUGUUUUGUACGUGGUAAUGCGUAGUUUUGGCGGUUAUGUUCGAUAUUGUAAAUUAAAUAAACUAUUCUUAGUGUUGGUUUUUAUUAUUAUUAUUAUUAUUUUUUUUUAUUUAAGUUUCCUCAAUAUUUUAGUUUGUUGGGGUUUAUAUUUUUUCUUUGCGGGUGUAGGUUAUGUUGGUUAUGGACAUGGAAGUACCUGCACUUGUUCAACCUGUACAGUACGUAUUAUUUUAUUUAUUUUAAUUUCGUCCUCUUUCCUAUGGCGUUCGUCCGUUUGUCUGCCUGGUCUUGUAUUUAUUGUUUUAGCACAAGAGGAGAAGGGAUUCCCAAAAAUGUGUGGAUGGCUCGUGAAGACGAUACAGAUGAAUGUGCGAAGGCUCACUUCCCUGAGGAGACUUCUGCCGGAGUCCUGGAUAUUCUCCUGUGUCACUGUUCUUGUGGUCAGAGCGAUCUUCUCUGCUGUAUGCUCCCAGUACAUGGAGAGACUUCGUGAGAUGUGUCUUGACGUUAUUUUAUUCAUUUGGUUGUGGCGAUUAUGAUUUUAAAUGGUGAAUACAGAGGUGUCCUCGUCAAAGGUUCCUUAUGCAGACUGUCCCACGCAAGAGGAAGACGGGUUCCAAAAUAUGUGAGUGGUCCCAGAAGGUGCAGGCAAGAACAAAAUAUCGUGUGACAUUUGUGUUGAUUAUGUUCGAUGCUUUUAUAUAUAUAUAUAUAUUAUUUUGUUGGUUAAAUCUUUAGUCAGUUCAGUUGAAUAUUCUGUAAUAUAAUAUUUGCAAAGUAGUUUUGUAUAUUUUAUUGUGUUUAUUUGAUUAUUAGUUGUUUGAUUUGAUAAUAAUAAUAUGUAUAUAUAUAUUUAUUUAUUUAUUUAUUUUACAAUAUAAAAUUUCUUUGAGUUUAUUAGUUUUAAUAUGUGAUAUCUUGCGUUUUAUUUCUUUUACAUGUGUUAGGUUGUGUAUAUAUAUCUAUAUGUGUAUAUGUCCCAUGAUGUAACUUCGUAUGGAAUUCUUUUAAUAUUAAAAUGUUAGUUAAUCUUAA